rnacentral:rRNA from 1 species
UACGUAGGGGGCAAGCGUUGUCCGGAAUCAUUGGGCGUAAAGCGCGUGUAGGCGGUCCGGUAAGUCCGCUGUGAAAGUCGGGGGCUCAACCCUCGGAUGCCGGUGGAUACUGGCGGGCUUGAGUACGGAAGAGGCGAGUGGAAUUCCCGGUGUAGUGGUGAAAUGCGUAGAUAUCGGGAGGAACACCGGUGGCGAAGGCGGGUCUCUGGGCAGUUACUGACGCUGAGGAGCGAAAGCGUGGGGAGCGAACAGG